ACGUCCCCACCCUAUCUGCUCACCCCCUUCCCCCUAGCGUCGUUCCCUUAUUCCUUCCUUCUCAGUUUCUCUAUUUUGAGCGACAUACACACAUAUGACACCCCUUUCUUCUCACUUCCACUUUCCCCAAUUGAAAAUCCUCUCCUUUUUGCCUCUAGCCUUUAACCUUUAGACUCUUCUCAUUUUGCUAUCUUGUCUCCUCUCUUUACUCCUCGGUGGUCUGUGUUUUGAAGGCUUGAAGUCAAAGCCUUUGGGUGUUGGGUCAAUCGAUUUUUUACUCUUCUUCUUUAUUAAGUCUUCUAUUCUGUAAGUAUAGUAUACUGUACAUUUGCAUGUUUGAUUUUAUCUUUUAAUUUUUUUCAAUUAAUUGUUCUCCAACUUAGAUAGUACAUGAGAAUUCGAUUGCGAUUUUCUUUUCUAAUUUAGAUCUUGGCAAUUAUAUAUAAUCAAAGAUUAAGCAUCUGUUUUGUAAGUUUAAGCAUCUAUCAUGAAAGUUUCAAAAUCCUUCAAAAUGGGGUUUUAUGAACACUUUGAAUUAAGUUAUAUUAUAUAGAUGUUUCUGCUUGUAAAAAUGAAAAAAAAAAAAUCUCUAGGAAAUGAGCAUUAGAUAGAAUAUCUUGUGAAUGUGUAUGUGAAUGUGUUUAAUAGGCAUUUUAAUUAGUGAUAGUGAUUCUCUUGCGAUUCGUCUGUGUAUGAAUUAAUGAAUGUGAAAUAGGUAAUCCUAAACUAUCUAAUUUGCUUGGCAAUUUUUGGCUUAUUACAGUAAUCUCAUUUUAUGGCCUGUGUUGUUUAAUCAAUUUCUUUGGGGAUUGCUGCUAUUGGAUACUUGUAAUAACUUGUGCUCUCUCUACUGUGUGUCUACAAUCCCUUGGAAUAACCUGUUUGUUUAAUUUGAUCGUUUAACUUACCACAUACAAGUUAAUUUUUAUUUAAAGAUGGCGCAAUAAGAAGAAGUAAAUAAGGAUACUUUGUCUAUGCAACCUCCUUGAUGUAGUCAUAUCAUACAGGUAUUUAGGAAUCAUAUUCAUUGAUUUUAUUAAUAUUUAGUUACUUUUAUGUUUAUUUUCAAAUGUUUUUAGUUAUCCUUUAAAUUUUGUUUUAAUUUGGUCUGAUUCUAUGAUUUUGGCCUUUAUCAAGAAUGUUUCGAUGAUCCGAGAAGGCAUGAAUGGAAUUAGAAAAAAUUUUGAAGCAUUAGAAUGCAGUUUUGAGACCAUUUAAAAUUACGUAGCCCAUGUAAUAUGUUACACGACUCGUGUGACUAGAGACAUAAAAUUACAUGGCCCAUGUAAUAAUUACAUAGCCCAUGUAAAUUUUUGAGCUCCAGAAACUUCAAAAAUUCAAGCGACAGAGAGUUACAUAGGAUAGGGCCAUGUAAAUUAAAACGAUUACAAGGCCUAUGUUGUUUUCGAUGAUAUUAUUCCAAAUUUGCCUUCCCAUGAUUCUUGGUUUUUCCUGGAGGUUUUUUAAGCUUAUUUGGACUUUGAAAUAAGGGUUUUACACCAUAUAUAAAUACAAUAGGUCAGGGUUUUAAGAGUGAUCAUCCUUUUUACAUUCAAGGGAGCACAUUACCUUUAAGGGAGGUGAGAGGAGAAACGGAUCUGCAAGGUUUUCAAAAGAAAUUCCAGUUAAGUUCCAAAAGUCCAAGGUUGCAAUUUUUCAUCUAGGUUCUUUCAUUCUAUUUCUUCUCAUGUAUUUUCUUUAUUAUUUUAUAAACUUGAUUGUAAAACUUAUCAUGUGUAAGCAGUUUCUUUAUUCUAGGAUUAGAGAUAUAACACUUUGAAUUCAGUUAUGAAUUUAAUUUGAUCUUAUUUAAUAAAUUGGAAUUUUG
rnacentral:misc_RNA from 1 species